rnacentral:piRNA from 1 species
AUGAGGCUAACAAAGGACGUCAG